AACGAACGCUGGCGGCGUGCUUAACACAUGCAAGUCGAACGGAAAGGCCCUGCUUUUGUGGGGUGCUCGAGUGGCGAACGGGUGAGUAACACGUGAGUAACCUGCCCUUGACUUUGGGAUAACUUCAGGAAACUGGGGCUAAUACCGGAUAGGAGCUCCUGCUGCAUGGUGGGGGUUGGAAAGUUUCGGCGGUUGGGGAUGGACUCGCGGCUUAUCAGCUUGUUGGUGGGGUAGUGGCUUACCAAGGCUUUGACGGGUAGCCGGCCUGAGAGGGUGACCGGCCACAUUGGGACUGAGAUACGGCCCAGACUCCUACGGGAGGCAGCAGUGGGGAAUAUUGCACAAUGGGCGGAAGCCUGAUGCAGCAACGCCGCGUGCGGGAUGACGGCCUUCGGGUUGUAAACCGCUUUCGCCUGUGACGAAGCGUGAGUGGCGGUAAUGGGUAAAGAAGCACCGGCUAACUACGUG
rnacentral:rRNA from 1 species